GGGGGCUUCGGGCGGCACUCCCAACCCCU
rnacentral:rRNA from 1 species